rnacentral:tRNA from 1 species
AUCUUUCUAGUAUUAAUAUUAGUAUAGGUGACUUCCAAUCACACGGCCUUGGUUAAAAUCCAAGGAAAGAUA